rnacentral:rRNA from 1 species
ACGGAAGGCAGCAGUGGGGAAUAUUGGGCAAUGGGCGCAGGCCUGACCCAGCGACGCCGCGUGAAGGAAGAAGGCCCUCGGGUUGUAAACUUCAGUCAACAGGGAAGAAACAAAUGACGGUACCUGUGGAGGAAGCCACGGCUAACUACGUGCCAGCAGCCGCGGUAAUACGUAGGUGGCAAGCGUUAUCCGGAUUUACUGGGUGUAAAGGGUGUGUAGGCGGGUUUGCAAGUCAGAUGUGAAAAUUAUGGGCUCAACUCAUAACUUGCAUUUGAAACGGUAGAUCUUGAGUGUCGGAGAGGUAAAUGGAAUUCCCAGUGUAGCGGUGAAAUGCGUAGAUAUUGGGAGGAACACCAGUGGCGAAGGCGAUCUACUGGACGAUUACUGACGCUGAGACACGAAAGUGUGGGGAGCAAACAGGAUUAGAUACCCUGGUA